ensembl:lncRNA LINC01198 long intergenic non-protein coding RNA 1198
GGCUUUCAGUCCCCGCCUCGCAGGGGGUGCCACCCCCCCCUGCGAUGGGGGUCCCAAGAGCCACGGGGGGAAAAGGGGCUGGCUCUCAGCCACCUCAAAAUGGGGGGCCUUUAUGUUCAGGUUUUGCCCAAGAGUCAGCUUAUUUGCUUCUUGUACUAGCAGGGCAGUUGCUGCCAAGGCCCUCAAACAGGGAGGCCAUCCUUUAGAAACCCUGUCUAGUUGUUCAGAGACGUAGGCCACCGGCCUCAGCCAGGGCCCCACAGUUUGGGUUAAAAGUCCAGCUGCCAUCUUUUCUCUCUCUAACGCAUACAAUGGCAAAGGCUUUGUCAGAUCGGGUAGCCCCAGGGCUGGGGCUGCCAGAAGUUUUUCCUUUAAGUCAUGAAAGACUUGCUGUUCUUGGGAUCCCCAUUCCAAAGGUUCCCGGUGCCCGCCCCCUUUGUGACCUCAUACAAAGGCUUGGCUACUACUGCAAAGUUUGGGAUGCACAGUCUACAAAACUGCACAGCCCCUAAGAAUUCCCUCACCUGCCCCCUUUGUGACCUCAUACAAAGGCUUGGCUAAUACUGCAAAGUUUGGGAUGCAGAGUCUACAAAACCCCACAGCCCCUAAGAAUUCCCUCACCUGCCUUCUGCCCUUAGGCUCCGGUAGACUGCAAAUGACCUGCUUUCUUUCUGUUCCCGGGCUGCGUUUGGACCCCUGUCGGACAGUAAAUCCCAAGUAAGGUACCUGCCCUCGGCAGAUUUGAGCUUUCUUCUUGGACACCUAAUACCCACAGUCCUCCAGGAAUGGAACAGAUAAGAAGAUACUGAAAUUGGACGGUGCUGCCGUGCGGCUGCCGCAGGACACCUUUAAUAUCCCUGUUUCUCAGGCUGUAGAUGAAGGGGUUCAGCAUGGAGGUGAUCACCGUGUACAUCACUGAGGCCACUGCAGCCUUUCUCGGGGAAGAUGACACAUCUGAACUGAGGUACCCUCCAAAGCCUGUUCCGUAAAAUCAGCAAACAACUGACAGGAUAACUUCAGGAAGUGGGUAUUAAUUCUCACGGUAUAAGUGAAGACAUUAAGCACCAGAGUUUAAGUAGCUUGAUCCACUGAAAGAGAUUCAACUGUGUGGAACCUAUGCCGUGGAGAAUUGCUUUCUGCCAUUGUUAUCGUCCAGCAGUUGCCGAAUAGCUCUGACCUGAGCAAAGCAGUGAAACGCGGUGCUGUUGAGUGGGUUGCCACUGCACCUUUUUCAACUACUCUAGUCUUGUGGAGAAAAUACCCCUUCUAAAUUUUUUCUUCAUUGAAUACUCUCCCUCAGCUCCAGAGUACCAUAUAGAGUUUUCUUGUAUUUUAGAGUUACUGUUUUAUCAAAGUUUACCAGUCUUUUGUAUUACAUUUCUCCUGUCUAAAUCGACUGUGUGGUUUCUACUCAUUAUGGAUAUAGAUUGAUACAAACUCAAUAAAUAUUUUUGAAUGAAUAA